rnacentral:rRNA from 1 species
CGCGUAGGCGGUUAGAUACGUCUGAUGUGAAAGUCCUGGGCUUAACCUAGGGACUGCAUUGGAUACGGUCUAGCUUGAGUGCGAGAGGGGAAAAUGGAAUUGCGCGUGUAGAGGUGAAAUUCGUAGAGAUGCGCAAGAACACCGGUGGCGAAGGCGAUUUUCUGGCUCGCAACUGACGCUGAGGCGCGAAAGCGUGGGGAGCAAACAGGAUUAGAUACCCUGGUAGUCCACGCCCUAAACGAUGCAUGCUAGAUGUCGGUCUGUAACAGGAUCGGUGUCGCAGUAAACACAUUAAGCAUGCCGCCUGGGGAGUACGGUCGCAAGAUUAAA